rnacentral:rRNA from 1 species
AGUGAACGCUGGCGGUAGGCCUAACACAUGCAAGUCGAACGGCAGCACAGUAAGAGCUUGCUCUUACGGGUGGCGAGUGGCGGACGGGUGAGGAAUACAUCGGAAUCUACUUUUUCGUGGGGAUAACGUAGGGAAACUUACGCUAAUACCGCAUACGACCUACGGGUGAAAGCAGGGGAUCUUCGGACCUUGCGCGAUUGAAUGAGCCGAUGUCGGAUUAGCUAGUUGGCGGGGUAAAGGCCCACCAAGGCGACGAUCCGUAGCUGGUCUGAGAGGAUGAUCAGCCACACUGGAACUGAGACACGGUCCAGAAUCCUACGGGAGGCAGCAGUGGGGAAUAUUGGACAGUGGGCGCAAGCCUGAUCCAGCCAUACCGCGUGGGUGAAGAAGGCCUUCGGGUUGUAAAGCCCUUUUGUUGGGAAAGAAAAGCAGCAGGUUAAUACCCCGCUGUUCUGACGGUACCCAAAGAAUAAGCACCGGCUAACUUCGU